rnacentral:rRNA from 1 species
CCUACGGGAGGCAGCAGUGAGGAAUAUUGGUCAAUGGACGAGAGUCUGAACCAGCCAAGUAGCGUGAAGGAUGACUGCCCUAUGGGUUGUAAACUUCUUUUAUAUGGGAAUAAAAUGUUCCACGUGUGGGAUUUUGUAUGUACCAUAUGAAUAAGGAUCGGCUAACUCCGUGCCAGCAGCCGCGGUAAUACGGAGGAUCCGAGCGUUAAACGGAUUUAUUGGGUUUAAAGGGAGCGUAGGUGGAUUGUUAAGUCAGUUGUGAAAGUUUGCGGCUCAACCGUAAAAUUGCAGUUGAAACUGGCAGUCUUGAGUACAGUAGUGGUGGGCGGCAUUCGUGGUGUAGCGGUGAAAUGCUUAGAUAUCACGAAGAACUCCGAUUGCGAAGGCAGUUCACUGGACUGCAACUGACACUGAGGCUCGAAAGUGUGGGUAUCAAACAGGAUUAGAUACCCGUGUAGUC